rnacentral:rRNA from 1 species
UACGUAGGUGACAAGCGUUGUCCGGAUUUACUGGGCGUAAAGAGCGCGCAGGCGGUCGUUCAAGUCGAGUGUGAAAGCCCCCGGCUCAACUGGGGAGGGUCAUUUGAUACUGAUCGACUCGAAGGCAGGAGAGGGAAGUGGAAUUCCCGGUGUAGUGGUGAAAUGCGUAGAUAUCGGGAGGAACACCAGUGGCGAAGGCGACUUCCUGGCCUGUUCUUGACGCUGAGGCGCGAAAGCUAGGGGAGCAAACGGG